rfam:Salmo salar isolate Sally breed double haploid chromosome ssa04, whole genome shotgun sequence.
AGCACGUAUUGACUGUUAGUCGCUUUGGAUAAAAGCGUCUGCUAAAUGGAAUAUA